GGCGAACGCUGGCGGCGUGCUUAACACAUGCAAGUCGAACGGAAAGGCCCUGCUUUUGUGGGGUGCUCGAGUGGCGAACGGGUGAGUAACACGUGAGUAACCUGCCCUUGACUUUGGGAUAACUUCAGGAAACUGGGGCUAAUACCGGAUAGGAGCUCCUGCUGCAUGGUGGGGGUUGGAAAGUUUCGGCGGUUGGGGAUGGACUCGCGGCUUAUCAGCUUGUUGGUGGGGUAGUGGCUUACCAAGGCUUUGACGGGUAGCCGGCCUGAGAGGGUGACCGGCCACAUUGGGACUGAGAUACGGCCCAGACUCCUACGGGAGGCAGCAGUGGGGAAUAUUGCACAAUGGGCGGAAGCCUGAUGCAGCAACGCCGCGUGCGGGAUGACGGCCUUCGGGUUGUAACCCGCUUUCGCCUGUGACGAAGCGUGAGUGACGGUAAUGGGUAAAGAAGCACCGGCUAACUACGUG
rnacentral:rRNA from 1 species